rnacentral:rRNA from 1 species
CAGCAGCCGCGGGAAUACGUAGGUGGCAAGCGUUGUCCGGAAUUAUUGGGCAUAAAGGGCUCGCAGGCGGUUUCUUAAGUCUGAUGUGAAAGCCCCCGGCUCAACCGGGGAGGGUCAUUGGAAACUGGGAAACUUGAGUGCAGAAGAGGAGAGUGGAAUUCCACGUGUAGCGGUGAAAUGCGUAGAGAUGUGGAGGAACACCAGUGGCGAAGGCGACUCUCUGGUCUGUAACUGACGCUGAGGAGCGAAAGCGUGGGGAGCGAACAGGAUUAGAUACCCCCGUAGUCCCUGUCUCUUAUAA